AUCACUAGGGGAUCUUGUUAAAAUGCAGAUUCUGGGGUGGGGCCUGACAGUCUGCAUUUCUAACAAACUCCCAAGAUGCUGAUGUUACU
ensembl:miRNA